CAGUAGCCACGGUAAUACAGAGGGUGCAAGCGUUAAUCGGAAUUACUGGGCGUAAAGCGCGCGUAGGUGGUUUGUUAAGUUGGAUGUGAAAUCCCCGGGCUCAACCUGGGAACUGCAUCCAAAACUGGCAAGCUAGAGUAUGGUAGAGGGUGGUGGAAUUUCCUGUGUAGCGGUGAAAUGCGUAGAUAUAGGAAGGAACACCAGUGGCGAAGGCGACCACCUGGACUGAUACUGACACUGAGGUGCGAAAGCGUGGGGAGCAAACAGGAUUAGAUACCCGGGUAGUCCCUGUCUCUUAUAC
rnacentral:rRNA from 1 species